CUUUACCUUAUUAUAUACCUAUUAUUAAUAUACCGGUGUGUAUUAUAAGUAAUAUAAUAUACCUACUUACUUAUAUUACUUAUAAUAUACCUUAUUACUUCCUUAUAAUAUACUUUAUACCUUAUAAUAUUUAGAUAUUAUUCCGUCUAUAGUACAGUAUGGUUAAAUUGAUAUCGAAGUGCGAUGGAUCUCUCGUUCCUUUCGUCUUCCUACAUCUCCAUUCCGGUCCUGAGUAAAUCUUUAUAGGAACGCUGUCCGACGUUUUGACUUCGGUAGAUCCAACCUAUAAUAAUCACUUCUAUGGACGCGUGUAGGUAUCCACUCUGCAAUUCUACCGCGUGGUUUUUCCUCCAUUUCGGAAAUCGAUGGCCGUCUUCUCCGUGGGUAUGGAAAAUUUUUCCUGCCACGCAGUUUUGAAAUAGUCUAUAUCGAGUGGAUGAUGCGCGGUAUUAAGAGCUGGUAGCACCGGUAAAACGGAGGUACCGACCGAUGGAUGGCGAAGAUCUAACCAGUUACACCGACCGUAAUUUAGUCUUUCUAACCGAGUUAACGGCGGUAAGUCGACCUACUGACCGACAUAGGCGGUUAUUUCUCGGCUGGUCGUUUGGUCAUCGGCCCCUUUUCACCGGUUAUUUAGACCCUACUUCGGGUCAGUCAAAGAUGACGGGCGAUAGGUGACGGAGCGGAGCCAAACCAACCACCCAUGCGGGGUCGGCCGUGUUUAUGGCUCUCAAAAUACUUCUCUACUUGUUAGAAAGAUAUCCGGACCUGUCUCCGUGGUCGUUAGAUGGAAAAUGUCUGGAGACGUUAAAUAUCUGCCAUUGCGCUUUAAAUAAUGGUAAAAUUUUCCACUUAAACCCGCUAUGUACCACCACUAAAAUGCUUGGUUUUCCGCUAUUUUAAUUACGCUAGUAAUUUCCAAUUUUUUCCAGCUACGUGGAAUGAAUAUUUUUCGGCAUUUUCCGACCACUGGAUAUCGUUUACCGCCGGUAGAGUGGAAAAAUAAAGCGUUAUGGUGGCCGGACAUUCGGUCCGAUCGACUCGUGUUUCUGGCCGGCUUUCGGUUGGUUAUUCACGUAUACCGUAGACAGUUCUGUCAUUUUUAUAGUCCACGUCUUUCUUUAAUACGAUUAACCACGCUCCCCUCGAGUCUAGUCAGACCCUUAAAGCUCAUCGGCCCGAUUUUCCAUUCACUUGUAUUUUGCCGACCAGAGACCAUCCAGCCACUCACCGAGUAUUAGUACUACGCCAUCUGGCGUCGAUUUUCUUAUCCGUCAGUCGACCGUCCACUUUUUUCCCGUUAGUAAAUGCGGUGAUGGAGUAAAGACCGAAAGACGGUGUUUAAAGACCUGUAUCUAUACGAGCUGAACAAUCCGCC
rnacentral:lncRNA from 1 species